rnacentral:lncRNA from 1 species
UUCUGAGGCCACUUGCGCUGCAGACUCCAGGAGCCAGGGCUGGGCUUUGACUGGCAGAGUCCAAGCAGAGGAAGCUUGCCGGACCCCAGGAGAGCCGCCACCUGGACAGAGGUGGCCAGACGCCUGUGCAUGGGCCACAAGGAAAGAAGGCACAGCCUAAAGUAAGCCCAAGGAACUUGGCAAGCGCCUGUGUAGCCUCUGGAAGGGCUCACCCAGAGAAGCAGGAGCACGGCGAUCUGGGUGUUUGGUGACAUUUCCAUCUGAGAGCAGGGCCCAGGUGGAAGAGGCAGCUGGGUGCAG